rnacentral:rRNA from 1 species
UACGAAGGGGGCUAGCGUUGCUCGGAAUCACUGGGCGUAAAGCGCACGUAGGCGGAUCGCCAAGUCAGGGGUGAAAUCCUGGAGCUCAACUCCAGAACUGCCUUUGAUACUGGCAAUCUCGAGUCCGGGAGAGGUGAGUGGAACUGCGAGUGUAGAGGUGAAAUUCGUAGAUAUUCGCAAGAACACCAGUGGCGAAGGCGGCUCACUGGCCCGGUACUGACGCUGAGGUGCGAAAGCGUGGGGAGCAAACAGG